GACGAACGCUGGCGGCGUGCUUAACACAUGCGAGUCGAACGGAAAGGCCCUGCUUUUGUGGGGUGCUCGAGUGGCGAACGGGUGAGUAACACGUGAGUGACCUGCCCUUGACUUUGGGAUAACUUCAGGAAACUGGGGCUAAUACCGGAUAGGAGCUCCUGCUGCAUGGUGGGGGUUGGAAAGUUUCGGCGGUUGGGGAUGGACUCGCGGCUUAUCAGCUUGUUGGUGGGGUAGUGGCUUACCAAGGCUUUGACGGGUAGCCGGCCUGAGAGGGUGACCGGCCACAUUGGGACUGAGAUACGGCCCAGACUCCUACGGGAGGCAGCAGUGGGGAAUAUUGCACAAUGGGCGGAAGCCUGAUGCAGCAACGCCGCGUGCGGGAUGACGGCCUUCGGGUUGUAAACCGCUUUCGCCUGUGACGAAGCGUGAGUGACGGUAAUGGGUAAAGAAGCACCGGCUAACUACGUG
rnacentral:rRNA from 1 species